rnacentral:lncRNA from 1 species
GCCGAAAGCCCUUCAUUCGUCUCUGUAUGCUUCAGCUUCAGAUUACGAGUCUCCUGCUUUUUAAUCACAAGUUUUGUUGUUUUUCUUCGUCACUCCGCCGAAUGAACAAGGGGAAGACCCCUCAACGUCUCAACAAGUUAACACACCUAUCAAAUCCCACAAAAACCAUCCACUCCGCCGAAUGAACAAGGGGAAGACCCCUCAACGUCUCAACAAGUUAACACACCUAUCAAAUCCCACAAAAACCAUCGAAAAUUCCAUUAAAGUCAAACGGAAACCAAAACGAAAGAAUAAUUCAAAGUUUCAAGCAAAUGGAGGAAUGAUACCUCCAGCAUCGCAAUCCCCAUCGUCUUUAUGCUACGACAAAUGGGCA